UCUGGCAAUGAUGACCCACUUGCCCUCACUGAGAACAAAGUUCCGUAAUGAGAAUCUCUGUUAUGGACUCAAGUUCUGAGCCAGA
ensembl:snoRNA